CAUGGAUAACUGUGGAAAACUAGAGCUAAUACAUGCAACUAAAGCCCCGACUUCUGGAAGGGGUGUAUUUAUUAGAUAAAAAACCAACGCGGCUCGCCGCUCGUUUGGUGAUUCAUAAUAACUUCUCGAAUCGCAUGGCCUUGUGCCGGUGAUGCUUCAUUCAAAUAUCUGCCCUAUCAACUUUCGAUGGUAGGAUAGUGGCCUACCAUGGUUUCAACGGGUAACGGGGAAUAAGGGUUCGAUUCCGGAGAGGGAGCCUGAGAAACGGCUACCACAUCCAUGGAAGGCAGCAGGCGCGCAAAUUACCCAAUCCUGAUACAGGGAGGUAGUGACAAUAAAUAACGAUAUAGGGCUCUUUAGGGUCUUAUAAUUGGAAUGAGUACAAUUCAAAUCUCUUAACGAGGAACAAUUGGAGGGCAAGUCUGGUGCCAGCAGCCGCGGUAAUUCCAGCUCCAAUAGCGUAUAUUAAAGUUGUUGCAGUUAAAAAGCUCGUAGUUGAAAUUCGAGCUCGCCCGGAUGGUCCGCCUCACGGCGCUGUACUGUCUGGGUGGGUUUUUCCUCUUGGUGAACCGGUGUGCCCUUUACUGGGUGCGCAGGGGAACCAGGACUUUUACCUUGAGAAAAUUAGAGUGUUCAAAGCAGGCCUUUCGCCCGAAUACAUUAGCAUGGAAUAAUAAAAUAGGACGCGCGUUUCUAUUUUGUUGGUUUUUAGAGUCGCCGUAAUGAUUAAUAGGGACAGUUGGGGGCAUUAGUAUUCAGUUGCUAGAGGUGAAAUUCUUGGAUUGACUGAAGACUAACUACUGCGAAAGCAUUUGCCAAGGAUGUUUUCAUUAAUCAAGAACGAAGGUUAGGGGAUCGAAAACGAUCAGAUACCGUUGUAGUCUUAACAGUAAACUAUGCCGACUAGGGAUCGGGUGACCUCUUUUUCAUGCGUCACUCGGCACCUUACGAGAAAUCAAAGUC
rnacentral:rRNA from 1 species